GAGAGUAUAGCUCAGUGGUAGAGCACGUGCUUAGCAUGCACGAGGUCCUGGGUUCAAUCCCCAGUACCUCCA
rnacentral:tRNA from 1 species